UAUCUCUGUAGAGUCUGCAUAUCAAUAAGCGGAGGAAAAGAAACUAACAAGGAUUCCCCUAGUAACGGCGAGUGAAGCGGGAAGAGCUCAAAUUUGAAAUCUUCAAGGUUUUACCUUGACGAAUUGUAGUUUAAAGAAGUGUUUUCUGUUAGUAGGAGUAGUAAAAGUUCUUCGGAAUAGGACAUCAUAGAGGGUGAGAAUCCCGUAUUUGACCAUUAUUUCCUAGCUUUGUGAUACACUUUCAAAGAGUCGGAUUGUUUGGGAAUGCAGUCCAAAAUGGGUGGUAAAUUUCAUCUAAAGCUAAAUACUGGCGAGAGACCGAUAGCGAACAAGUACCGUGAGGGAAAGAUGAAAAGAACUUUGAAAAGAGAGUUAAACAGUACGUGAAAUUGUCAAAAGGGAAGCGUUUGACACCAGUGUUGUUUUCUCGAAAAUCAAUUCAUGAUGGCUUGAUGCUAGGUUGUUAUGACUUUAUCAGCAUACUGUCUAGUUUUCUUGUCUUUGUGAAUGCACUUUUCGUUUAACAAGUCAACAUCAAUUUCUUUUGCUGUAAAAGGGUAAGAGGAAGGUGGCUUCAACUUCGGUUGAAGUGUUUAUAGCCUUUUACCUCUGCAGUCGGAGAGAUUGAGGUCUGCAGCGUAGACUCUUCGGGGUUAGAUACAUUUGUGCUAAGUUAUAGCUUUUCAUAGACAACUUGUUGACUAUGUUUAGUCUUGUAGCUUACUCGCUUAUGCUAUUUUACCUACGCUUAGGAUGUUGACGCAUGAGAUAUACGC
rnacentral:rRNA from 1 species